GGGGUAAAGGCUCACCAAGGCUUCGAUCAGUAGCGGGUCUGAGAGGAUGAUCCGCCACACUGGGACUGAGACACGGCCCAGACUCCUACGGGAGGCAGCAGUGGGGAAUUUUGGACAAUGGGCGCAAGCCUGAUCCAGCCAUGCCGCGUGUCUGAAGAAGGCCUUCGGGUUGUAAAGGACUUUUGUCCGGGAGCAAAUCCCAGUGGUUAAUACCUACUGGGGCUGAGAGUACCGGAAGAAUAAGCACCGGCUAACUACGUGCCAGCAGCCGCGGUAAUACGUAGGGUGCAAGCGUUAAUCGGAAUUACUGGGCGUAAAGCGUGCGCAGGCGGUUGUGCAAGUCUGAUGUGAAAGCCCCGGGCUUAACCUGGGAACGGCAUUGGAGACUGCACGACUAGAGUGCGUCAGAGGGGGGUAGAAUUCCGCGUGUAGCAGUGAAAUGCGUAGAGAUGCGGAGGAAUACCGAUGGCGAAGGCAGCCCCCUGGGAUGACACUGACGCUCAUGCACGAAAGCGUGGGGAGCAAACAGGAUUAG
rnacentral:rRNA from 1 species